CGUUUUUCAGCUAAAGUUAAACAUAAUACUGCCCCCUGCUGUACCGGAGGACACUUUACCACUGUACACUUUCUUUUUUAAUUAGGCCUAUUUUAUUUUUGAAAGGUUAAAAAUACGGGAUAAUUACGGGAACAUAUUUAAACGGGAUAAUCGCGGGAAAAACGGGAGGGUUGACAGGUAUGUGCUACACUCGUCAGUUGACGUAGAGUUGGCUAGCUAACAAGCUAAUUUACGUCAACUGUCAAUGGCGCCACUUGAAGCCAGAUGCUGUUAUCGUCUUCCCAAAAUAUGUAUUAAGAUGCCAACUGCUUCUCAACACCAAGUGAACUGCCAUUUGGAGAAGAAGACAAGAAAGGAAGAACCCCCCCCCCCCCCCCCCACUCAACUGAAGAUAUUGUAAGUGCUCAUUGAAUCUAUUAUGUAACCCAUUUACAGCAUGCUACACAAUCCUAAGUUCCAAAUCCCCCCCCCCCCCCCCAAUUGUGU
rnacentral:lncRNA from 1 species